UCAAAAAGGUAAACGAAACGGUGUGGCAUAUUUCUCUCUCUAUUUCAUAGAGAUCCCUAAUUCUCCUCCACAUUCAUAGUGAACCAAAGUGAUGUUCAUAUUCCUAACCUCUUCAUGGUUCUUUCAAGCCGCCGCCGUCAUCGGACCUUCCCUCGCCACUGUUUUCGGCCACUACGAAGCCGAACAUAAAACAAAGACCAAUCUUGUGUUACCUCAGGCCGUCGCGGGCUUCUUUAAUUGCUAAGGAACCUUAGUUUCAAUCUGCUGACAUCCUUUGGUGUAGAGCUGGAAAAUUUGAUAAGAGUUCAAAUUUUGUAAGUCUGCACUUUACAAGGCGUUGGACUAUUCUCAUUCCUUCAAUGAAUUCUGGUUUAGUCUUUUAAACUCAUAAUAACACUGUUAGCCUAGUCUUUCAUGCAUCCUAAUUUAGUCUUUAAACUUUAUCUUAUAAUUAUUAUGUUUGAUUUUAAAGUGUAAUACUCGGUCUUUUUGGUGGAUUUUUAAUUAGUAGAUUUUGUUUCAUACUUUUUCUAUUUCCAUUUUAUGCAAUAUUUUUCUUUUCUCUGUCUUUUUCCUUGGUUUCUUUGUUUGCUGGAUAUUCACGAUGCAGGGAAAUAAAAGAGUGGACUUGAAAGGCUUGAUAGAGAGAGGCAGGCUGACUUCUUAAACAUGUUGAAAGAAUUUGUAGUUAAUCAGGUUGUCUGAAACAACUUCAUAUGUCCAAAUUAUAGUCUUCAUUAGAGCAUUAAGAGGGGGGAAUUUUUUGUUUUCAUUAUGCGUUUUGACGUUUUUUUUCUUAUAGUGUUGUGAAGUGUAAUUUGUUUUGCUCCUAUCCAGACACAUCUUGUUCUUGAAUUUAUAAUUUAUAAAAUUAUUUAGAUGUUAAAAUAACUUAUUUAUCACAAUACUCAAUUUGAAGAAUCUCAUGUACAAAUUCAAUGCAUGAAUUGAAAAAGUUAAUGUAUUUACAGUAAUUUCCAUGAAUUGGAAGCUGUAGUAUCCAUGAAUUAGACUCUCA